rnacentral:lncRNA from 10 species
AGGGCAGCAGAGUCAGGAGGUGGGAUGAUAAAAGCAAGAAGUUGGAGGGAUACGAGGAAGGGAUCAUUAACCAACGAUUGCAAAAGGCCUCUGGAAGCUGGAAAAGGCACAGACACGGAUUCUUCCCUGGAGCUUCUGGGAGCAACCAGCCCUGCUGACACCUUGACUUUAGCCCAGUGAGAAUGACUGCAGACUCUGAGCUCCAGAACAGAUUUGAAGCACCCACUUCUCCUUCCCCUUUUCCUCCCAGGCCAGCCCCAUCCAGUAGCAAAACUAGAUGAGGAAAAGAAAGGCAAAGAACUCACACUGGAGUUUGAGCUACAAUCAAUCGAUUAUUUUCAUCAAUACAUCCCUAGGCUUUACCUCUCUUUACAUCUCAAAAUCGCCUCUGCAACAUCAUAUGUCCAAGACAGAACUCCCCUUCCUCCUGCAUAACUCACCAUAGCUCAGGUUAGGUUCUUGGAAUCAUAUUUGAGUUGUCCCCUCCAAAUCUCAUGUUGAAAUGUGAUCCCCUAUCAAAUAACUCCAUAAAGUAUCUAAAAUCUAUACCAUUUAUUGGAUUAUAUCACUUUCUGCUCAAUAAUUUCCAAAGGCUUCUCAUUACCCUAAAGAAAAAAAUUCUAUAGUUUGAAAACUCGAGACUACUGGUGAUCUCUUCAACUUACUCCCAGCCCCAUAACUCUCCAAACAGAUCUCCAGGUCACCCCUGACCUCCAGUCACACUCCCCAACAUAAUCACAAGUUUCCACUCACUCUCAUAUCCACCCUUCAUGAGCUCACUUCAGCAUCACUGUUCAUGCUAUUCCAUCUUCCAAUUCCUAACCCUCUACUCUCAGCUGAACUAACUAAAAAAUCCAAGAACUGAAAGAAGACAGAACAAGAGAAAGAGGAUACAACAAUUAGAUGCCAGUCGUGUUCUUGAGAGGAUAUUCUAGGGAGAAGCCAACCACAUGGACAGCAUGGACAACCUCUGUACAGAGACAGAAUUCUUAUGGUUGGAACCAGGAAAACACAGCAAUUACCUGGGUAAAAUGACUCAAGACUGAUGGGAAUGAGAAUGGCUCAGCUGAUGCAGGUGUGGUUAAAUGACACAGACCCACAGAACAUAUGGCUCCACUCAGUACCUGAAUAUUGCAAAGCCAUGUUGCCUUCUCCCAAACACCCUUCCUCCUCCCAUAAAUGCAACCUAGGCGGGGUGGGGAAGAGUGCUAUGUGCAUGAAGAUGAACUGUCUGUUACCUAGCAGAGUGAGGACCCCAAACAGAAAUUAAACCCAGAGACAGAAAUAAUGAAAACAGUCUUUUCUUAACUGCCUGAUUUUGUGCAUGAGAUUCAUAUCUGCAUAUGUGCAUUGUGUAUAUAUGUAUGUAUUGUUUUCAUUCAUUAUAUUACUGAUGCAGUUAUAACUAUUGUGAUGAA